AUGGACUCUAACAUGAAGGAGCUUCAAGAGGCUCUGGUUGACAUUGAAACUGAUGCAGAGCAACUUCUUCUAGCUAGGCAUGAGCUUGUGCAAAAUGACAAGAUGAGGAAUGCUAACAGGGAGGCAUUGACAGCCCUCCGGAAAAGAGCCAGGACAACCAAAAGUAGUGUUCCAUCUCCCUUUGACAUCGUAAUGAAAGAAAUGGAAGGAACCUCAGGCAAGCAGCUGGUAAAGGAGAUAUGCUCGACUUGUGGAAACCACGACCCCAAGGAACAUACCUGGCUAAUGUUUCCAGGAUCAGAUAUAUUUGCCCGUGUUCCAUUUCAUGCAACACACACUAUUCUGGAAGAAGAUCAAGAACGCCUAGACUUCGACACCAAGAAGCUGCAGAGCUUUGUGAAGGAGAAGUCGUUUCUGAUCUCUGAGAAAGGCGCCCUUGCUGAUAAGAUCAGCCCUGGGAUCGUGAAGUCCCUUGUCAGCCUCACAGAUAAACCUAAGUAG
rnacentral:rRNA from 1 species